rnacentral:rRNA from 1 species
UACGGGGGGAGCAAGCGUUGUUCGGAUUUACUGGGCGUAAAGGGCGCGUAGGCGGUCAGCACAAGUCAGUUGUGAAAUCUCCGGGCUUAACUCGGAAAGGUCAACUGAUACUGUGCGACUAGAGUGCGGAAGGGGCAACUGGAAUUCUCGGUGUAGCGGUGAAAUGCGUAGAUAUCGGGAGGAACACCUGCGGCGAAGGCGGGUUGCUGGGCCGACACUGACGCUGAUGCGCGAAAGCGUGGGGAGCGAACAGG